rnacentral:rRNA from 1 species
AGCGAACGCUAGCGGCGGGCCUAACACAUGCAAGUCGAGCGGGGAGCAAUCCCAGCGGCGAACGGGUGAGUAACACGUGGGUAAUGUGCCUUCUGGUGGGGAAUAACCUUGGGAAACCAGGGCUAAUACCGCAUAUCGUGCUUCGGCAUGAAAGCCUUCGGGCGCCAGUAGAGCAGCCUGCGUCCCAUUAUUUAGUCCUAGUUGGUGAGGUAACGGCUCACCAAGGGUACGAUGGGUAGCUGGUCUGAGAGGAUGAUCAGCCACACUGGAACUGAGACACGGUCCAGACUCCUACGGGAGGCAGCAGUGGGGAAUAUUGCGCAAUGGGCGAAAGCCUGACGCAGCCACGCCGCGUGGGUGAUGAAGGCCUUCGGUUGUAAG